UCCUGAAACACUGCGAAGCAAAGCCAAGAUGCAUCUCCAGGCUGUAGCUUCUGUUCUUCUCGUCUUUCUCCUUUGCCCAAAGGAAAGUGUUUUGGCCUUAAAUCUACCUGAGAAUUUGGGAGAACAACUUGGGCUUCAAAAGAAUGCUCCACAAGGCGUUGUUCCAGAACUUGUUGACAGG